rnacentral:rRNA from 1 species
UACGUAGGGUGCAAGCGUUGUCCGGAAUCAUUGGGCGUAAAGCGCGCGUAGGUGGCUUCGUAAGUCCGUUGUGAAAGUCAAAGGCUCAACCUUUGAAUGCCGAUGGAUACUGCGAAGCUAGAGUACGGAAGAGGAGAAUGGAAUUCCUGGUGUAGCGGUGAAAUGCGCAGAUAUCAGGAAGAACACCCGUGGCGAAGGCGGUUCUCUGGGACGGUACUGACGCUGAGACGCGAAAGCGUGGGGAGCGAACAGG